rnacentral:rRNA from 1 species
GUGAGGAAUAUUGGUCAAUGGGCGGGAGCCUGAACCAGCCAAGUCGCGUGAAGGAAGAAGGAUCUAUGGUUCGUAAACUUCUUUUGCAGGGGAAUAAAGUGCAGGACGUGUCCUGUUUUGUAUGUACCCUGAGAAUAAGGAUCGGCUAACUCCGUGCCAGCAGCCGCGGUAAUACGGAGGAUCCGAGCGUUAUCCGGAUUUAUUGGGUUUAAAGGGUGCGUAGGCGGUUUGAUAAGUCAGCGGUGAAAGUUUGCAGCUUAACUGUAAAAAUGCCGUUGAAACUGUCGGACUUGAGUGUAAAUGAGGUAGGCGGAAUGCGUGGUGUAGCGGUGAAAUGCAUAGAUAUCACGCAGAACUCCGAUUGCGAAGGCAGCUUACUAAGCUACAACUGACACUGAAGCACGAAAGCGUGGGGAUCAAACAGGAUUAGAUACCCCUGUAGUCC